rnacentral:rRNA from 1 species
AAACCAACCGGGAUUGCCUUAGUAACGGCGAGUGAAGCGGCAAAAGCUCAAAUUUGAAAUCUGGUACCUUCGGUGCCCGAGUUGUAAUUUGUAGAAGGUAACUUUGGGGCUGGUCCUUGUCUAUGUUCCUUAGAACAGGACGUCAUAGAGGGUGAGAAUCCCGUGUGGCGAGGAUCCCAGUUCUUUGUAAAGUGCUUUCGAAGAGUCGAGUUGUUUGGGAAUGCAGCUCUAAGUGGGUGGUAAAUUCCAUCUAAAGCUAAAUAUUGGCGAGAGACCGAUAGCGAACAAGUACAGUGAUGGAAAGAUGAAAAGAACUUUGAAAAGAGAGUGAAAAAGUACGUGAAAUUGUUGAAAGGGAAGGGCAUUUGAUCAGACAUGGUGUUUUGCGCCCUCUGCUCCUUGUGGGUGGGGGAAUCUCGCAGCUCACUGGGCCAGCAUCAGUUUUGGCGGCAGGAUAAAUCUGCAGGAAUGUAGCUUGCCUCGGUAAGUGUUAUAUCCUGUAGAAAUACUGCCAGCUGGGACUGAGGACUGCGACUUUACGUCAAGGAUGCUGGCAUAAUGGUUAUAUGCCGC